GCAAAACAUAAACAUCUGUUUUUGAGUUUCGAUAUGAAAGCCCAAUUAUAUCUAUUAAUUCUCGUAAUGCUUGGUGUAGCGUGUUCUGCGAGAAUACUGUUUCGGCGCAGUGCUGAUUAUUUAAUCGGCUCCACAAAUUUCGGAGCGACAGUCACAUUUGGCGAACGAUAUGUAGACGAUUGCCUAAACCAACAAAAUCCACCGUGGCGAUGCUUCUCAGAACAAGUGGGGUUCAACUCUGAUUGGUAACCUGGGUAAAUUUAAUA